GCUGGGCGUGGUGGCUCAUGCCUGUAAUCCCAACACUUUGGGAGGCUGAGGUGGGUGGAUCGCCUGAGGUCAGGAAUUUGAGACCAGCCUGGCCAACAUGGUGAAACCCCAUCUCUA
rnacentral:SRP_RNA from 1 species